GGUCGUGCCUCACCCAAAUUAAAAAUUUUCCUCAACUCAAAGGGUGUUGUAUUUGUUUGGACCUAAAUAAAGGGGGGAGACGCCGACGCCAUUGACAGUGCAUAUUUGUGAGAAGAGAAGAUUGCAGCUGCAAAUUAUGGGGGAGAUGGGAGAAAACGAGGAGUUUUACCUGAGAUACUACGUGGGUCACAAAGGAAAAUUUGGGCACGAGUUCUUAGAAUUCGAGUUUAGGCCAGAUGGGAAGCUCCGUUAUGCUAAUAAUUCCAACUACAAGAACGAUACUAUGAUUCGUAAGGAAGUCUUCCUUACCCCUUCGGUUCUCAAAGAAUGCCGCCGCAUUGUUGCUGAUAGCGAGAUCAUGAAGGAAGAUGAUAACAACUGGCCUGAACCAGAUAGAGUGGGGAGACAGGAGCUUGAGAUUGUGAUGGGAAAUGAACACAUAUCUUUCACUACAUCUAAGAUUGGUUCAUUAAUGGAUGUGACUGUCAGUAACGAUCCUGAGGGACUUCGUAUCUUCUAUUAUCUUGUUCAGGCUUGAAUUUGUGAUGCAUUCUGUGCUUAUUGGAUCUUAAAACCUCUCAAGUAAUUGGAAGCCGCAGGCCAAAGGACCUUAAAAACUGUGGUCUCCAGUCCUAAACUGAGAGGUUCUCCAGGAUUUCGUGUUCUCAGCCAAUUAGUUCCAUUAGCUCCAGGUUUUCCUGUUCCAUCCCUAAUAAUGCAAAUAUUUGCACUGGUGAUUUAUAGUGGCUUUGCUUCAAAUGAGGUUCCGAAGCACAAUGACUUCCUCUAUCAUUUUUUAUUAGUGCUGGUGUCCGGAUCAGCUCUUCCUCCGGUACCUGGUAUCUCUCACCAGCACAUGCAUGAGGCAAAUCUGCUAACCAAGACUAAAAAGAUGAAAAGGAAUCACUUAAGCUUUCUUUAAGCGCAACAUAUUGAAGCUACUUGGAACAUGAAGAGUCUCGAAGGAUUAGUUAUCUUGUGACUAUGUUGUUGGCAAGUGAGUUUGGAUAAAGAAAGCUAUUCUAUCAUCUGAAGCAGAAUAUAGUAAAGUAUGAGCAUCCCCCCCCCCUCUUUUUUGGGUGGGGUGGGGGACUGGGAGGUAGGCAUAGGGGAAAAGUUACUUUUUGGACAUGCAAUUAUAUGUCCUGUGAAUUGCCAAAGAUUCCUGCGAGAUUUUCUCAUUUCAUAUAAUCAAAAUAUAGUUCAUCUCCUGAGCUAAAGGAGGGAAGAAAGACAGGAAAGUAAACUCACUUUGCUCUAAUUAGUUGUUUAUUGAAAACUUGCUGCAAGUCUGCAACAGUUGACGUGUUAUUAUUUUUUAAAGCAAGAGUAUCUUGAUGCAUUUCUUGAAGUUUGUUUCAGCACCAUGUGACUCUGGUUUCUUGGUGCAGGAUCUGAAGUGUUUCGUGUUCUCUCUCAUCUCACUCCAUUUCAAGAUCAAACCCAUUUAACUCGUGUGUGUGGCAUGCUAAAAA